GUUGCUAACGGGACGCUUGCUAGCCAAAAUAGCUAAAACGUUCACGCUCAUUAGACACUUUCGGUGUGUAUUAGCCACUGUUUUAAACACACUUAUGUCGUAUAGCUAGCUAAUUGUCGCAUUUAAUUUCAUUUUACGUUGCUAGUAGUCAGCUAGCUGGCUGGUUAAAUUAGCAGUAGCAUUUGACUUGUCAUUAAUGCUAACUAACUAGCUAACAUCCCCGACCAUGAGUUCACUAAGCUACUCUCCCCUGCCGAAGAAGAGGAGGUCUGCUGGACGGAGAAAGAUGUUCUCGUGAAAGAGGAGAAGGAAGAAGAGGCUGUCACCGUCAAAAAAGAAGUAGCUGGUGAGGCUGUUACAGUGAAAGAAGAGGAAAAAGCUUUCCGAGUGAAACAGGAAGAAGCGAAAGAGCAGGAGGGGGAGAUCACUGUCACAUUGGACGAGGAAGACGUUUUUGGAUUGGACGAAGAGAAGACUGGAAAUCUGAUCAACAUCAGAGCGAUAUCAGACUGUCACUCUGACAUAGGAAAGAGUCCUUCAGGGGAACCCGAUCCAGAGACGUCCAACCCAGUGAGGAGACACCACUGCUCCCAGUUUGGAAAGAUAUUUUCCAGGUUAAAGCACCUGAAAGAACAUAAGAGAACGCACACAGGGGAGAAGCCUUAUCACUGCUCCCUGUGUGGAAUGGGUUUUGGACACUUGGGGUAUCUAAAAGUGCAUGAAAGAACACAUUCUGUAGAGAGGCCUUUUCAAUGCUCUGUGUGGCCAGAGAUUUAUCCAGGCAUCGCAUCUGAAAGAGCAUGAGAGAACACACACGGGAGAUAAGCCUUUCCAAUGCUCUCAGUGUAAAAAGAGUUAUACCAAAUUAGGGAACCUGAAAAUGCAUGCGAGAAUACACACCGGAGAGAAGCCUUUCCACUGCUCCCUGUGUGAAAAGAGUUUUACCUAUUUAGGGAUACUGAAAAAGCAUGAAAUGACGCACACACGAGAGAAACCUUUCCAAUGCUCCCAAUGUGGGAAGAGUUUGACGGAACACACACAGGAGGGGAGAAGACCUAACGUUGUUAAGACCAGUUAAGGCCCCGGAAUAAUCACCUCCAAAAUGAUUAACACCCUUGAUAAAGAUGUGUUUAAGAUCGACAAUACAAGUACUGAGCUGAAUAUUGUAUGCUGAAAUUGUGUUUUUAUACAAAUACAAGCUCAGAGAAAAAUAUUUUGUUUAACAAGUGAAAUAAACUUUAACUUUAAUUUAUUGGCACCCGUAAAGAUUCUUGUUAAUUAAAUAAAUAAAAUAAAAUCUACGUUAACAUUGUGAUGGGACAUUUUUCUCUCUGUGUAUCAGGUUGUAUGUUUAGAAUAAUGCUGCUCUGUAAUUACAUGUCUUGGUUCGGUUCAUGCGAGUGACUGGCUGAUUGUACACACUGAUUGUAGAUUGGAGUAACCCAUAAGAAAUGUACUAAUACGGCCCAGAACAUUGUUCUGUGGGACAAAAGGAGUAUCUCAACCUCGUGAGGUAUCAGUCAGUCACAUGCAGGAACCAACGUUGAUAAUGUAAAUCAUGCUCAUAUAACUUGUUUGUGUAGCAGUAUAUAAGGACCGAAAGGGGAACGCCCUUUUCAUCAACCUCGUGAGGUAUCAGUCAGUCACAUGCAGGAACCAACGUUGAUAAUGUAAAUCAUGCUCAUAUAACUUGUUUGUGUAGCAGUAUAUAAGGACCGAAAGGGGAACGCCCUUUUCAUCAACCUCGUGAGGUAUCAGUCAGUCACAUGCAGGAACCAACGUUGAUAAUGUAAAUCAUGCUCAUAUAACUUGUUUGUGUAGCAGUAUAUAAGGACGGAAAGGGGAACAUCCUUUUCAUCAAGCUCGGAGUGAGUUUGUGAACCUCUCCGGGCCGUGAUAAUAAAGAUUCGUUUAACAUUUUA